CCCCACUAAUUCUCACACGCGGCUUAGACUCUCUGCCAGACCUCACUUAUUCUCACACAUGGCUUAGACUCUCUUCCAGACCCCACUAGUUCUCACACGUGGCUUAAACUCUCUGCCAGACCCCACAAAUUCUCACACGUGGCUUAAACUCUCUGCCAGACCCCACUAAUUCUCACAUGUGGCUUAGAUUUGCUGCCAGACCCCACUAAUUCUCACACUCGGCUUAGACUCUUUGCCAGACCCCACUAAUUCUCAC